UCUGUGAAGUCACUCCUCCCCCACUUUCAGUCCAUGUGCUUCAGGUAGAUUUGACUCCACCCAAGACUGGAAUAUGUGGCUUGGAUCAAGCUAAUCAGCUCAUCACAUUGUCCUGUUCAUGAUCAAUGAGAUUCUGACUGGGAAUGUGGUACCAAGAUCUUCCUAUCUCCCACUGCAUAGGAAGCUGGCAGGAUAGAGCCCUGGGAGCUGCUGGCAGUCACCUUAUGCCCAGAGGCUUUUAGCCCAUCAGAGGAUACUUUACGUUGUCCUGUUCUCUUUGGUGACAGAAAGCAAACACAACAAGGAGCCCUCACCUUACCCAUGAAGACAAAGAGCCAGUUCCUCUCCCUGAACUCAAACGCUGCUUCCUGUGAGGUGAAAGCACAGGACUUUGGGGGCCUGAUUUUUCUGUAUAAUGUGCUCAGCAUUAGAGCUGGUAAGUGCAAGAAGCGUCUGGGCUCUCUUGUGAGUUCCAGCAUUGUCAUCCCGGAUGGCAGAGUGGCUCCCCCAAGUGCUUUAUCAGGAUCAGAAUUCCCUAGGCUCGGCAAGCAGGAGAGUUGCUUAUCACUCUGGAAGUAGACUGAGAGGCGCACACUCGACGAUUUAUUUGAUGCUAAAUCUCUGGUUAGAGUUGA
rnacentral:lncRNA from 1 species